AGUCAGUUCAGGCAGACCCGAAACCGGGUGAUCUACCCAUGUCCAGGUUGAAGUUUCCGUAAAAGGAAAUGGAGGACCGAACGCACAUCCGUUGAAAAGGGUGGCGAUGAGGUGUGGGUAGGGGAGAAAUUCCAAUCGAACCCGGAGAUAGCUGGUUCUCCUCGAAAUAGCUUUAGGGCUAGCCUCGUAUUAGUUUAGCGGAGGUAGAGCACUGAAUUCUUAAGGGGGCGUCAAAGCUUACCAAGAGAUAUCAAACUCCGAAUGCCGCAUAAAUGAUGUACGGGAGUCAGACUGCACGAGAUAAGUUGGGUAGUCAAAAGGGAAAGAGCCCAGACCUACAGCUAAGGUCCCAAAGUGUGUGUUAAGUGGAAAAGGAUGUGGGAUUUCAAAGACAACUAGGAUGUUGGCUCAGAAGCAGCCACACAUUCAAAGAGUGCGUAAUAGCUCACUAGUCGAGAGGUCCUGCGCCGAAAAUGUCCGGGGCUGAAACACAACACCGAAGCUUAGGAAUUGACGUAAGUCAAUUGGUAGAGGAGCAUUCUUAACUGCGAAGAAGCGUUACCGUAAGGAGGCGUGGAGUGUUAAGAAGAGAGAAUGCCGGAAUGAGUAGCGAGAUGGAGGUGGGAAUCCUCCAGGCCGAAUAUCUAAGGUUUCCAGAGUAAAGCUGAUCUGCUCUGGGUAAGUCGGGGCCUAAGGCGAGGUCGAAAGACGUAGUCGAUGGACAACAGGUUGAAAUUCCUGUACCGCGUAUUAUCAGAACUGUGGGGACACAGAACCGAAGCCAAACCCGGGAAUGAAAAGACCGGGGCAAGCGCCGGACUGGUUAGACUGGAAAAUCCGUCUAACAACAGGAAAGCGUGACGCGUACCGAACAAAAGUAGGGAAGUUGGUAUAGGGGCUGUCAAGAAAAGCCGCUAUUGUGUAAUACGUGCCCGUACCGUAAACCGACACAGGUGGAUGAGGAGAGAAUCCUAAGGCCGGCGGGAGAAGCAUUGUUAAGGAACUCGGCAAAAUGGCUCCGUAACUUCGGGAUAAGGAGCGCCCACGAGAGUGGGCCGCAGAGAAUAGGCUCAAGCAACUGUUUAGCAAAAACACAGGUCUAUGCAAAACCGAAAGGUGAGGUAUAUGGGCUGACGCCUGCCCGGUGCUGGAAGGUUAAGAGGAGAGGUUAGAGCAAUCGAAGCUUUGAAUUUAAGCCCCAGUAAACGGCGGCCGUAACUAUAACGGUCCUAAGGUAGCGAAAUUCCUUGUCGGGUAAGUUCCGACCCGCACGAAAGGCGUAAUGAUUUGAGCGCUGUCUCGACAAUGCACCCGGUGAAAUUGAAGUACCAGUGAAGAUGCUGGUUACCUGCGCCAGGACGGAAAGACCCCAUGGAGCUUUACUCCAGCUUGAUACUGGGAUUCGGUGUCGCAUGUACAGGAUAGGUGGGAGGCAGUGAAGGUAGGACGCCAGUCUUACCGGAGCCAUUGUUGGGAUACCACCCUUGCGAUAUUGGGUUUCUAACCUGCGGCCAUGACCUGGCCGGGGGACAAUGUCAGGUGGGGAGUUUGACUGGGGCGGUCGCCUCCGAAAGUGUAUCGGAGGCGCUCAAAGGUUCCCUCAGAAUGGUUGGAAACCAUUCGAAGAGUGCAAAGGCAUAAGGGAGCUUGACUGCGAGACUGACGGGUCGAGCAGGUACGAAAGUAGGACUUAGUGAUCCGGUGGUAUAAAGUGGGAUUGCCAUCGCUCAACGGAUAAAAGCUACCCUGGGGAUAACAGGCUUAUCACUCCCAAGAGUUCACAUCGACGGAGUGGUUUGGCACCUCGAUGUCGGCUCAUCGCAUCCUGGGGCUGAAGUAGGUCCCAAGGGUUGGGCUGUUCGCCCAUUAAAGCGGUACGCGAGCUGGGUUCAGAACGUCGUGAGACAGUUCGGUCCCUAUCCGGCGUGGGCGUAGGAUAUUUGAGAGGAGCUGUCCUUAGUACGAGAGGACCGGGAUGGACUGACCUCUGGUGUACCGGUUGGGUAUCAAACCCAUGGCCGGGUAGCCAAGUCGGGAAGGGAUAAACGCUGAAGGCAUCUAAGCGUGAAGCCCCCCUCAAGAUGAGAUAUCCCAUCGCAAGAGUAAGACCCCUUGAAGACGACGAGGUAGAUAGGGCAGAGGUGGAAGCAUGGCAACAU
rnacentral:rRNA from 1 species